rnacentral:rRNA from 1 species
GACGAACGCUGGCGGCGUGCUUAACACAUGCAAGUCGAACGGUGAAAGCGGAGCUUGCUCCGCUGGAUCAGUGGCGAACGGGUGAGUAACACGUGGGCAACCUGCCCCUCACUUCGGGAUAACUCCGGGAAACCGGGGCUAAUACCGGAUAUGACCUCCUUGGGCAUCCUUGGAGGUGGAAAGUUUUUCGGUGAGGGAUGGGCCCGCGGCCUAUCAGCUUGUUGGUGAGGUAGUGGCUCACCAAGGCGACGAGGGGUAGCCGGCCUGAGAGGGCGACCGGCCACACUGGGACUGAGACACGGCCCAGACUCCUACGGGAGGCAGCAGUGGGGAAUAUUGCGCAAUGGGCGAAAGCUUGACGCAGCAACGCCGCGUGCGGGAUGACGGCCUUCGGGUUGUAAACCGCUUUCAGCAGGGAAGAAGCCGCAAGGUGACGGUACCUGCAGAAGAAGCACCGGCUAACUACGUGCCAGCAGCAGCCGUAA